GGAUGUAGCUCAGCUGGUUAGAGCGCCGGUCUGUGGAACCGGAGGUCGCGGGUUCAAAUCUCGUCAUC
rnacentral:tRNA from 1 species